AGAGUUUGAUCCUGGCUCAGGACGAACGCUGGCGGCGUGCUUAACACAUGCAAGUCGAACGGUGACGAAGGAGCUUGCUCCUUCUGAUCAGUGGCGAACGGGUGAGUAACACGUGAGCAAUCUGCCCCUGACUCUGGGAUAACUUCGGGAAACCGUAGCUAAUACCGGAUGCGACGCGCGAAGGCAUCUUCUGCGCGUGGAAAGAAUUUCGGUCAGGGAUGAGCUCGCGGCCUAUCAGCUAGUUGGUGAGGUAAUGGCUCACCAAGGCGACGACGGGUAGCCGGCCUGAGAGGGUGACCGGCCACACUGGGACUGAGACACGGCCCAGACUCCUACGGGAGGCAGCAGUGGGGAAUAUUGCACAAUGGGCGCAAGCCUGAUGCAGCAACGCCGCGUGAGGGACGACGGCCUUCGGGUUGUAAACCUCUUUUGGCAGGGAAGAAGCGAAAGUGACGGUACCUGCAGAAAAAGCACCGGCUAACUACGUGCCAGCAGCCGCGGUAAUACGUAGGGUGCAAGCGUUGUCCGGAAUUAUUGGGCGUAAAGAGCUCGUAGGCGGUUUGUCACGUCUGCUGUGAAAACGCGAGGCUCAACCUCGCGCCUGCAGUGGGUACGGGCAGACUAGAGUGCGGUAGGGGAGAUUGGAAUUCCUGGUGUAGCGGUGGAAUGCGCAGAUAUCAGGAGGAACACCGAUGGCGAAGGCAGAUCUCUGGGCCGUAACUGACGCUGAGGAGCGAAAGCGUGGGGAGCGAACAGGAUUAGAUACCCUAGUAGUCC
rnacentral:rRNA from 1 species